AAAUGUUGGUAAACCAAAAUUUGAUUAAAACACACUUAAAUCUCAACUAGCAUUCAUGCAAUUGUCAAAAUACUAACAAAAAUAAAGUGCCAAAAUAAAGUUAUGGUGAACUAGAGCCACCCAAAAGUACAUCACAAAUUCCCAAAAACAAAAACAGAAAUAGUACAAAGAAACUCAGAAAUACAACAACUCUCAAUUCUCCAAAUUCUCAAUCCUCCUC
rnacentral:lncRNA from 1 species